CAGUGCCGCAGCACUAUCUGCCCCUCGUAACACAGUCUUCAGCUCCGAGAGCUUUCUGAGGGAAAUGAGCACAGAAAAGAGAGAGAGAAAAAAAGAGCCAGUUUCGGGUUGUAAUAAUAUGAACACAUGGCAUUUAAUGGUGCCAAGAAAAACAGAGCUCUGCAACCAGAACAUUCCUUUCAAAUGAAACCCCAUCCAUGCCUGGCAGACACUACACUCUUCAACCCUAUUCUCUGUCUGUAAAGUCCACUCGGCGCAGACCAAGGUAGCGCUGAAGCAAAAAUACUGGCUGGUUUUGGUACGGAGAAUGAAAACACAGGCUCUGUUUGAAGCAACAGAGGGACGUCCAGCUGGGGGAUAACUAGCAGCUCGCGAAGAGGCCCGCCGUGAAUGUUUAUGCGCCGCUUACGCCCCGUGUGGAAAAAUGGAUAUUUACCUUACGCGUAUACAACCCUGUGUCAUCGUCCGUUCGGAGGACGGUUCCGUUGGGACAGCGCAGCUCGCAACUACGACACGGGAGGAAUGUGAGAGAUGACGUCAGCACCAUCGUCGACGCCACGGCCAUUAUCUGAAUUACAGUCAUUAUCCCAGCUGGCCUAUAAUACUGUUGGACUAGAAGGUAGGAGCUACUGGGUGCGUUUGAAGUUGUGUCGUCAGGGGAUGAAGUAGCAAUAAAGCUUUGUUGACAUCAACAAAUGGGAACAAGCUUGUUUUGGAUUCUGAUUUUAGCGGUUGCUUGUUUGUGUUCAUAUCAUUGUGUAGUGUGUGCAAAUGUGUGUGUGUCUGUGUGUGUAUCUUUGGGUGUCUGUGUGUGUAUGUGUCUGAGUGUGUCUGUUUGUGUGUGUGUCCACUGACCUGUCCCCGAUCCAGCCAGGGUUACAGUGGGAGCACUUUCCGUCGACAUGGUUACAGAAGUGACCGUCCUUGCAUGGGGGGCAGGUGCCUUGACAGCUGUCCCCAAAGAACCCCGGAAGGCACUUCUGGUCACACUUGGUGCCGUUCCAGCCGGUCUCACAGGUGACGCACCGCCCCUCCGUCACCUUGCAGGGCUGCUGGCCCUUACAGUGACCACACCUGGGGGCCACAGACGGCACGGCGUUCACACCUUCAAACCCUCCAACUACACACGCAGGAUAUAUGACCAGAACUUGACAACAUGUGUUCUAAACCGAGCAUGAAGCCGUGUGUGAAACAGAAGACACUUUGGCAAACAGAAGGAUGAAAUAGGCUACAUUGGAAGAUGUCUCUCUCUGUGACAUUUUUUAACAUCCUCGCUGGGUCAGAAUACGAGCACAUCGGCUCUUUUGGUAGAGUACGUUUCCAGACACAGGGGCAUUUUGGGGGAUUUGUCUUUUGUUUUUACGGGGGGGGGGGAGGGGCAGUACAUCCCAAUGUGAAUCAUACAGCAGCUUGGCGAUCUGGCUACACAACUGUGUGGGACUCUGUGAGGAAGGUAGUGCCGUUAACCUGAAUGACUUUAACACACGGUAAGAUAAUAAGCUACUGUGAAUCCCGAUUCACCCGCCUGAAACCCAGGCUGCUCCUUCACGACGUUUACGACGUUCAGAUAUUUCAAGGGGUAAUCAGUUACCACACGCCAAAUCCCAUUUCCCCAUCUCAAACCACACAACCCCCCCCCUUCCUCACUUGUUCCUGCAGUUCUGUCCGUAGGACCCGGCGGGGCAGGGUUCCCUGCAGAACUUCCCCCGGUAUCCGGGCGAGCAGCUGCAGGAACCGUCGUUCUGGUUGCACUUCCCCUGGCCGCACUGGCAGUAGCGCUCGCACCGGGGCCCCCACAGACGCUCGCGGCAGAGACAGCGGCCCGUGAACUGUUCGCACGGCGAGUUGUUACAGUUGCACGGGUUGGCGCAGUUGCGUCCGGACCAGCCCGGGUGGCAGAGGCAGCGGCCGUUGGUCUGGUCGCACACGGAGUUGACGCUGCAGUAGCACGUGCCGGCGCACGCCGCGCCGAAGGAGCCGGGGUGGCAGGAGCAGCGGCCCGUGUCCUGGUCGCAGCGGCCGUUCUGGCACACGCAGGCGUUCUCGCAGUUGGGACCCCAGCGGUUGUGGUUGCAGGUGCAUUUGCCCGUCACGUCGUCGCACUGGCCGUUGGGGAAGCAGGUGCACUUGCCCUUGCAGUCGGGACCCCAGAACUGGCUGGGGCAUUCUGGGAAAUCAGGAAGAUGUCAUGCAGGUCAGGUUAAAGAGCCUGUCGUCCACUAGUCUGAGUGCUAACUGUGUUGUAGACGCUGACUUCCCAGCAUCUUCAGAGAGUUUUUACUCUUUGUUGUUUGUUAUUAUGCUGCUUCUAUGUUUUGACUUGCCAAGGAACUACAGACGCCUAUUCGCUUAAAGUUAUAAUCUGGUGUAGUGCAUCAAAUGGUGACAUGUAUAUUUUAAACUGUACUUAAAUAAAUAUAAACAAACAAAUAAACA